AUUUUAACGAGGCCUGAAAUUCUUAUCAAAAAAAGAUUGAAGCUAGAAGAAUUUUGAUACAAGGAAAAAAGACCCCUACAGCACGGAAUGAGGCAAGCACCAAAAGAAUAGCUGAUCUUAUGGCUGUUAUCAAAUGCAUUGAUGAUCAUAAUCUUGAAUCCGAGUACCAACCUCAUAGCCUUAAGAACCUUAAGGAUUUAAUUGUCUCUCUUGAAAAAAUAAAUGCAAGUGGAAAUCUUACCUCCCCAAAAGCUAUCCCUACCCCUUGCUUUGCUCCCAAGAGAGAGAGACGCCAUCACAUAAACAUGUUGGUAUUAAGCGAGAAGGAGAAGUCAUAGCUACUGAAAUUGCUGGAAAUGACCCUCUUGGUGCCACGGCCAAUGUUUCCUCCAAGAAAAUGCCUCCUAAGCAUCCAAAAUGGUCAAAACCAGAUUUGCAUACACACCCCAAUCGUAAGGCUGUUUCAGAUAAUUAUUCUUGGGAAGCUCUUGCAAGACCUAGAGAUCUGGUCGGUUAGUUAGCCUUCAGAAUGCGGUAGGGGUGGCAGUAAGU